AUGAACGCUGGCGGCGUGCCUAAGACAUGCAAGUCGAGUGGGUUUAGACCCACGGGCGAAACGGGUGAGUAAUACCUAGGAACUUUUCUUUAGUUGAGGAUAUCCUUCCGAAAAGGAAAGAGCAAUACUCAAUGUGACCGCAAGGUUAUUAAAGCAGCAAUGCGCUAAAGGUGAAGGCCUGGGCACCAUCAGCUAGUUGGUAAGGUAACGGCUUACCAAGGCUAUGGACGGUUAGGGGCCCCGAGAGGGGGAGACCCCCCACACUGGGGACCUGCGAACACGGCCCAGGACUCCUACGGGAGGCAGCAGUUUGGAAUUUUGGGACAAUGGGCGAAAAGCCUGAUCCAGCGACGCCCGCGUGGACGAUGAAGGCCUUCGGGUUGUAAAGUCUUUUGCUCGGGAACAAUUUUUUGAGCGUACCGAGAGAAUAAGAGGUUGCUAACUCUGUGCCAGCAAGCAGCGGUAAUACAGAGACCUCAAGCGUUUAUCCGGAAUCAUUGGGCGUAAAGCGUACCGAUAGGUGGUUUACAAAAGUCAGAGGUGAAAUCUCAAGGCUCAACCUUGAGUCUGUCCUUUGAUACUUGUAAACUAGAGGGGCAAAGAGGAAGCUUGGAACAAACGGUGUAGUAGUGAAAUGCGUUGAUAUCGUUUUGGAACACCAAUAGCGUAGGCAGGCUUCUGGGUGCCACCUGACACUGCUAGGACGAAAGCGUGGGGAGCGGAUGGGAUUAGAUACCCCAGUAGUCCCACGCUGUAAACGAUGCACGUUCGGUGCUAGGGAGUAUCGACCCUCCUUAGUACCAAAGCUAACGCGUUAAACUGUGCCCGCCUUGGGGGGAGUACGGGCCCGCAUGGCUUAAAACUCAAAGGAAUUGACGGGGACCUGCACAAGCGGGUGGAGCAUGUGGUUUAAUUCGACGGUAAGCGAGGAACCUUACCAAGUUUUUGACAUGUACCUGCAAUACAUUGGAAACAGUGUAGCCUUCGAGGGUGGUACACAGGUGCUGGCCACGGUUGUCGUCAGCUCGUGCCGUGAGGUGUUUCACUUAAGUGUGAAAACGAGCGCAAACCCCUACGGUGAGUUACAAGUGUCUCACAGAAACUGCCGCCGUUUAAGGCGGAGGAAGGUGGGGGAAUGACGUCAAAAUCAGCCGCGGCUCUUUACAACUUGGGCGACACCACGUGCCUAACAAUUGGGAAGGACAAAGGGACGCCAAGGAGCAAUCCGGAGCAAAAUCCCUAUCAAUAACUUCCCCCAGUUUCGGAUCGAGGGCUGCAACUCGCCCUCGUGAAAGCCGGAAAUCGCUAGUAAACCGUAGGAUCAGCCCUCGCUACGGUGAAUACGUUCUCCAGGUUUUUGUAACACACCGCCCGUCAAGCCAAUGGAAGGCGGGAAGCGGCUGAAGUGCAUCGUAAGAUGCCCCCUAAGCCGAAAGCUCGUAAACUGGGGCU
rnacentral:rRNA from 1 species